AAUGAACGCUGGCGGCAGGCCUAACACAUGCAAGUCAAGCGCCCCGCAAGGGGAGCGGCGGACGGGUGAGUAACGCGUGGGAACGUACCCUUUGCUACGGAAUAGCCUCGGGAAACUGGGAGUAAUACCGUAUGUGCCCUUCGGGGGAAAGAUUUAUCGGCAAAGGAUCGGCCCGCGUUGGAUUAGGUAGUUGGUGGGGUAAUGGCCUACCAAGCCGACGAUCCAUAGCUGGUCUGAGAGGAUGAUCAGCCACACUGGGACUGAGACACGGCCCAGACUCCUACGGGAGGCAGCAGUGGGGAAUAUUGGACAAUGGGCGCAAGCCUGAUCCAGCAAUGCCGCGUGUGUGAAGAAGGCCUGCGGGUUGUAAAGCACUUUCAGUGGGGAAGAACAGAUUCGGGUCAAUACCCCGGAGCCCUGACGUUACCCACAGAAGAAGCACCGGCUAACUCCGUGCCAGCAGCCGCGUAAUGUAGUCGUG
rnacentral:rRNA from 1 species